ACCACUAGGGUUCUCAUCUUGUCAGUUGGUGUCUUCUCAAUUGAUAAGUCUUUCCUUACUCCAAUCUCCGACGUUUUGAGUUUUGGCCUUUCGAAGCAUCGGGCACACUGAUAGCAGAUGGACUGAAGAUGGGCUGCCAGGACGGGAAGAAAUGUACCUGUUUAUAGGAUUUACCCUGGUGCACUGUUCUUAUUUUCUUCAUGCACAGUAUGUCUUGACUCCAUCACUAUGUGUAGAGAGUUUAUAUUUUAUGGACCAUCUCCAGCACAGAAUCAUUGGAAGGAACAAAGAAGACAGGAGAUGUCUGACUGGACUCCCAGGCUAGGGGAGUCUGCCUUCCACACAUAUCCCGGGGGUUCUCUGGAGCUCCCUGUCAGGCUGGUGACCGCUGGAUUGGAAGGAGUGAAUGCUUAGCUGGUCUCGUCCACUGCUGUGCUUUGGGGGAGUGGCCCUAUUGCUCUUUCUGGGAUGCCUCAUGUUUCCCCUCAGAGCAUGGAUGCGUUUAAUACUGCCCUCGGUAUACGGGUGGGCUGUGCUUCCCCAAACACCAUCAUUUGCAGGCCCCUUCAUGGAUUUUGCCAUAUCCAUGUACCACCAAAACUAUAAUUGACCUGAUACUUUUCUUUAGAUGUCUCAUUUUAAACUGAAAGGUCCAAGGAAAUGCAUCCCUUCCCCCUAGGUGGUGAUGUAUUGGUGCAUCUGGUUCCUGGGAACUGUCUUGGGAUCCUUGUUGUCUUCAUUUAGUGCAAGAAGGCUUGAUCCUCACCCUGAGUUCUUCACUUAGAAACCACAAUCACUAAGGAACGAGAACCUGGUAUCGUUCAGGUACUGAUCUUGUGUGUCUUCCUGAUGUUAUCCAAUCCUUAUUACAGCUCUGUGGGUGGGUAUUCCUAUUCUCAUAGGAAAUUGAGACAUGGACAACACGCUAGUUACUUGCCCAAGUUCCCACAGUUGGUAAAUGGUUGAGCUGAAUUUCAUCUCACUCUAUUUCCAAAGCCAAUUUAUGUGAUCUUGUGUGUCUUUUGAAAUUAAAAGUAAAAUGAUACAAAGCUAUAGUUAAGAGAUAAUGACUAGGGCAGCAUAUGUGCUGUGGAAGGACUCAGUGUGCAGGGGGAAGGCAGACAGUGGACAGAAGAGUACAGUGCAGUAGGCCGUGUUAUGAUAGAGGCAUGAGCAAGGUGAUAUAUUCUGGCAUAUGGGAAUACAGGGAAAUCAGAGAACGUGUGGGCCAUAAGUCCAGGGGAGUGGGGACUGAAGGAGAAGAUGGAGUGGAUAAGAGGGGCAUUCCGAGUCCUCCUUUUCUGAUACCCUGGGGAAUGUUGUUGACCCCGCUGGGCACCCUGUGUCCCCUUCUGAUUAUUUACAUGCCAUCCAGUAACAUUCACUCCAUGGGCUCUCUUCUUGAGGAGCUGGCCCUGCCUGGGACCUUCUUCUGGGGUAGAGCUGGGCCACAGUGGAACGGGUGGAGGAGGACGGGGGCAAGGGUGCAGGCAGAAGCACAAGCUGGA